rnacentral:piRNA from 1 species
UAGUCUGAUUUCUUGGUGUGUGUUGGG